ACGGGGUGCAGCAGGCGCGAAAACUUUACAAUGCGGGAAACCGCGAUAAGGGGACACCGAGUGCCAGCAUCCUAUGUUGGCUGUCCAUAUGUAUAAAUAACAUGUGUUAGCAAGGGCCGGGCAAGACCGGUGCCAGCCGCCGCGGUAACACCGGCGGCCCGAGUGGUGGCCACUAUUAUUGGGUCUAAAGGGUCCGUAGCCGGUUUGGUCAGUCUUCCGGGAAAUCUGACGGCUUAACCGUUAGGCUUUCGGGGGAUACUGCCAGGCUUGGGACCGGGAGAGGUAAGAGGUACUACGGGGGUAGGAGUGAAAUCUUGUAAUCCCUGUGGGACCACCAGUGGCGAAGGCGUCUUACCAGAACGGGUCCGACGGUGAGGGACGAAAGCUGGGGGCACGAACCGGAUUAGAUACCCGGGUAGUCCCAGCCGUAAACUAUGCUCGCUAGGUGUCAGGGACGGUGCGACCGUUUCUGGUGCCGUAGGGAAGCCGUGAAGCGAGCCACCUGGGAAGUACGGUCGCAAGGCUGAAACUUAAAGGAAUUGGCGGGGGAGCAC
rnacentral:rRNA from 1 species